GCAAGUCGAGCGGAAAGGCCCUUCGGGGUACUCGAGCGGCGAACGGGUGAGUAACACGUGAGUAACCUGCCCCUGACUCUGGGAUAAGCCCGGGAAACUGGGUCUAAUACCGGAUAUGACCAUUCCACGCAUGUGGUGGUGGUGGAAAGUCUUUUCGGUUGGGGAUGGGCUCGCGGCCUAUCACCUUGUUGGGGGGGUAGGGGCCUACCAAGGCAACAACGGGUAGCCGGCCUGAAAGGGCAACCGGCCACACUGGGACUGAAACACGGCCCAAACUCCUACGGGAGGCACCAUUGGGGAAUCUUGCGCAAUGGGCAAAAGCCUGACCCACCGACCCCCCGUGGGGAAUGACGGCCUUCGGGUUGUAAACCUCUUUCACCAGGGACAAAGGUGACUUGUACCUGCAAAAAAACCGCCGGCUAACUACUUGCCACCAGCCGCGGUAAUUAA
rnacentral:rRNA from 1 species